CGGGACGCUGCAGCAGUGGGGAAUAUUGCACAAUGGAGGAAACUCUGAUGCAGCAACGCCGCGCGGAGGAUGACACUUUUCGGAGCGUAAACUCCUUUUAUAUAGGAAGAAGAUGACGGUACUAUAUGAAUAAGCGCCGGCUAGCUCCGUGCCAGCAGCCGCGGUAAUACGGAGGGCGCAAGCGUUACUCGGAAUCACUGGGCGUAAAGAGCGUGUAGGCGGAUUAAAAAGUCAGAAGUGAAAUCCUAUAGCUUAACUAUAGAACUGCUUCUGAAACUCUUAAUCUAGAAUGUGGGAGAGGUAGAUGGAAUUUCUGGUGUAGGGGUAAAAUCCGUAGAGAUCAGAAGGAAUACCGAUUGCGAAGGCGAUCUACUAGAACAUUAUUGACGCUGAGACGCGAAAGCGUGGGGAGCAAACAGGAUUAGAUACCCUCGUAGUC
rnacentral:rRNA from 1 species